rnacentral:rRNA from 1 species
AUUGAACGCUGGCGGCAGGCCUAACACAUGCAAGUCGAGCGAGCGGCGGACGGGUGAGUAAUGGCUGUGAAACUGCCUGAUGGAGGGGGAUAACUACUGGAAACGGUAGCUAAUACCGCAUACCAUCAGAUGUGCCCAGAUGGGAUUAGCUCGUAGGUGGGGUAACGGCUCACCUAGGCGACGAUCCCUAGCUGGUCUGUGAGGAUGACCAGCCAGACUGGAACUUGGACAGGGUCCGGACUCCUACGGGAGGCAGCAGGGGGGAAUAUUGCACAAUGGGAGCAAGCUGGAUGCAGCCAUGCCGCGUGUGUGAAGAAGGCCUUCGGGUUGUAAAGCACUUUCAGCGGGGAGGCGUUACCCGCAGAAGAAGCACCGGCUAACUCCGUGCCAGCAGCCGCGGUAAUAC